UGUUAAAACAUGAUUGGUAACAAU
rnacentral:siRNA from 1 species